CUAGAAAUCUGAAGGAGGGCUUUAUUCUCAAGACUUCUACUAGUGUCUGGAACAAUGGAAAUCCUUAUGAAAUACAGAAGCACCACUGAUAUGGCUUGGCUGUGUCUCCACUCAAAAUCUCUUCCUGAAUCGCACUUCACAUCAUCCACAUAAUCCCCAUGUGUCAAAGGAGAGACCAGGUGGAGACCAGGAUCCAGUCACUGAGAGACUGAGAACAAAUCCAGUGGAUUAUACAAUGUUUCCCUCCCUAUCACCUUGUCACCACUCAUAUUCAUAUCUGUAGGUAUCAGAGCCUAAAAUUAACUAUAGUGUUCUUAUUUUCAUCUCCUCUUUUGUCAUUGUGUUUAUCUAGAUAUUAUUUAUUAAAAAGGUUAUAAGCUUUGCAGGUCUUUUACCUGUAAUUC